rnacentral:pre_miRNA from 1 species
ACCAGCUCUGUUGGGACAAGAGAAUGGUCUUGUUUUGGAAGGAAGACUGUCGUUUUGUCCCAAGAGAGCUGGU